rnacentral:rRNA from 1 species
GACGAACGCUGGCGGCGUGCUUAACACAUGCAAGUCGAACGAAGAGCGAUGGAAGCUUGCUUCUAUCAAUCUUAGUGUCGAACGGGUGAGUAACGCGUAAUCAACCUUCCCUUCAGAGGGGGACAACAGUUGGAAACGACUGCUUAUACCCCAUACGAUCUAAUCUCGGCAUCGAGGAUAGAUUAAAGGUUGCCUCUACAUGUAAGCUAUCACUGAAGUUGGCGAUUUCGUCUGGUUAACUAGUUGGAGGGGUAACGGCCCACCAAGGGCAAGAUGAGUAGGCGGUCUGAGAGGAUGAACGGCCACAUUGGGACUGAGACACGGCCCAGACUCCUACGGGAGGCAGCAGUGGGGAAACUUCCGAAAUGGACGAAAGUCUGACGGAGCAACGCCGGGUGAGUGAGGACGGCCUUCGGGUUGUAAAGCUCUGUUAAUCGGGAAGAAAGGCCUUCUUGCGAAUAGUGAGAAGGAUUGACGGUACCGGAAUAGAAAGCCACGGCUAACUACGUG